CGCACAUUGCGCCCCUCGGUAUUCCGGGGGGCAUGCCUGUUCGAGCGUCAUUACACCCCUCAAGCUUGGCUUGGUAUUGGGCUCUCGCCCCCGUGGCGGGCCCGAAAAGCAGUGGCGGUCCGGCGUGACUUUAAGCGUAGUAAAUUUCAAUCCCGCUUUGAAAGUUCGCGUCGUGGCUCGCCAGGCAACCCUACGUAACAUCUACGUAUCUUCAAUAAUUGACCUCGGAUCAGGUAGGGAUACCCGCUGAACUUAA
rnacentral:misc_RNA from 1 species